ACAUCCAGAGAAUUUAGCAGAGAUGCUUUAGUGCCUUCGGGAACUCUGAGACAGGUGCUGCAUGGCUGUCGUCAGCUCGUGUUGUGAAAUGUUGGGUUAAGUCCCGCAACGAGCGCAACCCUUUAUCCUUUGUUGCCAGCACGUAAUGGUGGGAACUCAAAGGAGACUGCCGGUGAUAAACCGGAGGAAGGUGGGGAUGACGUCAAGUCAUCAUGGCCCUUACGAGUAGGGCUACACACGUGCUACAAUGGCGCAUACAAAGAGAAGCGACCUCGCGAGAGCAAGCGGACCUCAUAAAGUGCGUCGUAGUCCGGAUUGGAGUCUGCAACUCGACUCCAUGAAGUCGGAAUCGCUAGUAAUCGUAAAUCAGAAUGUUACGGUGAAUACGUUCCCGGGCCUUGUACACACCGCCCGUCACACCAUGGGAGUGGGUUGCAAAAGAAGUAGAUAGCUUAACCUUCGGGAGGGCGUUUACCACUUUGUGAUUCAUGACUGGGGUGAAGUCGUAACAAGGUAAGCGUAGUGCU
rnacentral:rRNA from 1 species